AACGAACGCUGGCGGCAUGCCUAACGCAUGCAAGUCGAACGAGACCUUCGGGUCUAGUGGCGCACGGGUGCGUAACGCGUGGGAACCUGCCCUUAGGUUCGGAAUAACUCCCCGACAGGGGUGCUAAUACCGGAUAAUGUCUUCGGACCAAAGAUUUAUCGCCUUUGGAUGGGCCCGCGUUGGAUUAGCUAGUUGGUAGGGUAAAAGCCUACCAAGGCGACGAUCCAUAGCUGGUCUGAGAGGAUGAUCAGCCACACUGGGACUGAGACACGGCCCAGACUCCUACGGGAGGCAGGAGUGGGGAAUAUUGGACAAUGGGCGAAAGCAUGAUGCAGCAAUGCCGGGUGAGUGAUGAAGGCAGUAGGGUUGUAAAGCGCUUUUAACCGGGAUGAUAAUGACAGUACCGGGAGAAUAAGCUCCGGCUAACUCCGUG
rnacentral:rRNA from 1 species